rnacentral:rRNA from 2 species
ACUGAGAUACGGCCCAGACUCCUACGGGAGGCAGCAGUGGGGAAUAUUGCACAAUGGGCGCAAGCCUGAUGCAGCGACGCCGCGUGAGGGAUGACGGCCUUCGGGUUGUAAACCUCUUUCAAUAGGGACGAAGCGCAAGUGACGGUACCUAUAGAAGAAGGACCGGCCAACUACGUGCCAGCAGCCGCGGUAAUACGUAGGGUCCGAGCGUUGUCCGGAAUUACUGGGCGUAAAGAGCUCGUAGGUGGUUUGUCGCGUUGUUCGUGAAAACUCACAGCUUAACUGUGGGCGUGCGGGCGAUACGGGCAGACUAGAGUACUGCAGGGGAGACUGGAAUUCCUGGUGUAGCGGUGGAAUGCGCAGAUAUCAGGAGGAACACCGGUGGCGAAGGCGGGUCUCUGGGCAGUAACUGACGCUGAGGAGCGAAAGCGUGGGGAGCGAACAGGAUUAGAUACCCUGGUAGUCCACGCCGUAAACGGUGGGUACUAGGUGUGGGUUUCCUUCCUUGGGAUCCGUGCCGUAGCUAACGCAUUAAGUACCCCGCCUGGGGAGUACGGCCGCAAGGCUAAAACUCAAAGAAAUUGACGGGGGCCCGCACAAGCGGCGGAGCAUGUGGAUUAAUUCGAUGCAACGCGAAGAACCUUACCUGGGUUUGACAUGCACAGGACGCCAGUAGAGAUAUUGGUUCCCUUGUGGCCUGUGUGCAGGUGGUGCAUGGCUGUCGUCAGCUCGUGUCGUGAGAUGUUGGGUUAAGUCCCGCAACGAGCGCAACCCUUAUCUUAUGUUGCCAGCGCGUAAUGGCGGGGACUCGUGAGAGACUGCCGGGGUCAACUCGGAGGAAGGUGGGGAUGACGUCAAGUCAUCAUGCCCCUUAUGUCCAGGGCUUCACACAUGCUACAAUGGCCGGUACAAAGGGCUGCGAUGCCGUGAGGUGGAGCGAAUCCUUUCAAAGCCGGUCUCAGUUCGGAUCGGGGUCUGCAACUCGACCCCGUGAAGUCGGAGUCGCUAGUAAUCGCAGAUCAGCAACGCUGCGGUGAAUACGUUCCCGGGCCUUGUACACACCGCCCGUCACGUCAUGAAAGUCGGUAACACCCG